rnacentral:sRNA from 1 species
UCUGGGUGCGGUGGCGCACACCUGUAAUCCCAGUGGCUUGGGAGGCUGAGGCAGGAAGAUUGUGAGUUCAAAGCCAGCCUCAGCAAAAUCGAGGUGCUAAGCAACUCACUGAGACCCUGUCUCUA